rnacentral:rRNA from 1 species
UACGGGGGGGUGCGAGCGUUGUCCGGAAUCACUGGGCGUAAAGGGCGCGUAGGUGGUUUGAUAAGCAUGUGGUGAAAGUCCGGGGCUCAACCCCGGAUCUGCCGUGUGGACUGUCAGACUCGAGGACUGUAGAGGCAGGCGGAAUCCGGGUGUAGCGGUGGAAUGCGUAGAGAUCCGGAGGAAGACCGGUGGCGAAGGCGGCCUGCUGGGC